rnacentral:rRNA from 1 species
AUUGAACGCUGGCGGCAUGCUUUACACAUGCAAGUCGAACGGUAACAGGCCUUCGGGUGCUGACGAGUGGCGAACGGGUGAGUAAUGCAUCGGAACGUGCCCAGAGGUGGGGGAUAACGCAGCGAAAGCUGUGCUAAUACCGCAUGUGAUCUGAGGAUGAAAGCGGGGGACCAGGCAGCAAUGUUUGGCCUCGCGCCUUUGGAGCGGCCGAUGUCAGAUUAGGUAGUUGGUGGGGUAAAGGCCUACCAAGCCGACGAUCUGUAGCUGGUCUGAGAGGACGACCCGCCACACCGGGACUGAGACACGGCCCAGACUCCUACGGGAGGCAGCAGUGGGGAAUUUUGGACAAUGGGCGCAAGCCUGAUCCAGCAAUGCCGCGUGCGGGAAGAAGGCCUUCGGGUUGUAAACCGCUUUUGUACGGAACGAAAAGGCUCUGGCUAAUACCUGGGGCUGAUGACGGUACCGUAAGAAUAAGCACCGGCUAACUACGUG